rnacentral:rRNA from 1 species
GACGAAGGGGGCUAGCGUUGUUCGGAAUUACUGGGCGUAAAGCGCACGUAGGCGGCUCUUUAAGUCGGGGGUGAAAUCCUGGAGCUCAACUCCAGAACUGCCUUCGAUACUGUAGAGCUUGAGUUCGGGAGAGGUGAGUGGAACUGCGAGUGUAGAGGUGAAAUUCGUAGAUAUUCGCAAGAACACCAGUGGCGAAGGCGGCUCACUGGCCCGAUACUGACGCUGAGGUGCGAAAGCGUGGGGAGCAAACAGG